rnacentral:misc_RNA from 1 species
CAUCAACGUAUUCUCCUUGCCUGCGGCCACGUCCACAGUGGACGUGAUUAACAAGAGAACGAGCAGAACAGGGUAACGCAACGACGUCAGCCAGCUGCAGUGGUCUUGCGGGGCCUCUUCUCUCAUGAUUUUUUUUCCUUCGGCGUAUCUUCGUCUUCUCCAGCUCUGCUUCCACUCGCUCUAAGGACUCCAUAAGACAUCCACAGAGACAGCCCCCUCCCUCCUCCGGACAUCUGCAAAGACUGCUUGACGCUGCUUCAGCAACUUAACUCCUUUCUCUUCUCUUCGAUCGAAAGAACGAGGUGCCGAUACCGCAAGACACCCAAGCCGAAUUCAUGCAAGACCGCUGGCGGGACAAACGCCUCGUGGAAGACUUCAUUCGAGGCGGACACACGCACGCACGAACACAAGAACCCCCCUCCCCCAAGGUAAAGGGCACCGCCUCCAACCAGCUAGCGUAAGCGAGCGCCUCAGCGCAGUGGACACUGCAGACGUGCUCGCCUCCAGAGACACACGUGCGUGCUGUGGCGUGCCCGCACAGACACACAGAACAGCCUUUUGCGCGGCGGCAGCAGAGGGAAGGUAAGGACCUUGACACGGCGUAUCAUCCGCGAAGCGGAAACCUGUCUUUGGUUUUGUGCUUCCAAUCAUGUUCAGCGCUUCUUCCUCUCCGGCAUUACCAGUUACGCUGGGACACGGCUACGCUGCAGCGAUGCGGCAGACCUCCACAACCAGUGCUGUGGGCCACUCGCUCAGCCGCAUUGUUGCUGUCGGCGCGACUGCGGUGGCCCUUGGCGUGUCUGCAGUCCUGGGCGGCUCUCUUCUUUAUGUGUCUUUGCACCGAGCGGAGAGUGCAGCAUCUGAGGCGGGCACCGGCCCGUCGUGGUGGUCGCGUGUUGCGCGACGUCUGCGGAUCUGCAGCUGUGACAAUGAGGAGGAAGACGACGCCUUCGCCACCGGCAGAGGCGCAGAAAACUUGUUCGACGAAGAGAAGGUCAAGGCACGACAGAAGCUCCCGCGCGGCAAGGCCAAAGGCGCGGCACACAGCCACGCAUCCACUGCCACCAUCACCGCCGGUGCUGGUGCCACCGCUGCCACAGUUUCAGCCGCUUUACGGAAACUUGCGGGCUCAGCGCCACCAGUCUCGGACGCAAAGGAGGCACUCACCAUGCUGGCCAACACCGAGGAGAUUCGGGAACGAGAGCAAUACAUUAAAUUGGUGCGUGCACUUCUGCAGCGUGAGGCGGGCAUCGCGUACGAUGACGACGAUGACAGCUCCACCAGCUCAGACUCCACAGAUGUAUCGUUGAAUUAUCACCUGGCCACCGCGAUGGAAGGGAACGCGCGGGAUGAACUGCUGAUGGCCUUUUCCGCCUACGGCGACUUCAGCGACAGCGCCGUCUACGGCAGCUCGAUCCCGGAUGCCGGAGACGAAAAUGCAGCGGACUUGCAGCUGAGCAUCAUGAUCAAGACCCUCGAGUAUCUGGACAUGUCGAAUGAGCGCGAGAAGCUGCGAAGUCGCCGCAUUGCCAUGUACCGCGAGGCCGGCCACGCCACACCGGUCUCCUCCAUUGAUGCGGCCGGGAGUGAUAGGGAUGGCGGUGAGCUCGACGAAGGCGGAGAUGUAGUGGUGGACCCUAUGCACUUUCAACUCGCCGCUCACUACGCUGCUACCCAUUAUGGACUCACCAGACCCAUGGACGAGCGGGACGACGAUGAGGGGGAUGGGGGAGACUACCCGAGCGCCAUGGAGCGGCAGGCACAGCGCUUCCAGUCGAUGCUGCUGCGCCCAUCGAAGAUGAAUAUGCCGGCGGAAGACCGAAUGAACACCGAUGACUCGGUCCUGGAUCGCAUUCUCGGUGAGGGUCCCGCGGUGCGGGCGAAUCCUGCUAUGCCUGGCACUGCGCGCAACGGGCACGCCGCCCUGCUGGCUGAUCGCGCCGACAUGAUGGAGGAUGGGUGGGAGGCCGAGGACGACGACGAGGAGGCGGAGCUCAUGGCGUACCUGCAGCAGGCGGACAACGCCCAGCACUUCUACUCACGUGAGGAAAUGCGACGCGCCAGGCGCGACCCGGCGAGCGACAUCCGCAUUGUCGGGAUGGAGGACAAUGCUUUCGACGAGGACGACGCGGAGAGUGAGUGGGAGGACGAGGCGGACGACGAGGACGUGGCCGGCACGGAGGAGGAGGACGAUGCCGAGGCGGAUGAAGAGGACGACCUCGCCGCUGCCGUGCCGUGGAGCCGCCGCGACAAGCGGGACUUUGAGAGGGAGCUGUUCUCGCGCAUCCGCCACUUGGCGAAGAGCUUCGCCCUCACGGACGCCAUGGCAGAGCGGGAGGUGUCAGAGGAGGAUGCCCGGAAGCGUGUGGCACGGGAGCAGCGACGUCAGCAGGGCAUUCACUCUAGUGCGAAGGCCGCAGUCGACCCUAACCCUGCCGCCGCGGCGGACGACCUCGCGGAAGGCACUGAGGAGUGGGAAGACGAGGCAGACUGGGAGGACGCAUAACGGCACGAGCUCUGAAGCGUCGCCCCUAAUGCCACAGAGAUUCUACCGCCCAAACGCCCAAUGCUUGCCCCUUUUCCUUUCGCGCUUUUCGCAGACAUUAACCACAACGGAAGGUAUCGCAUUCACAUCAUUCAUAACACACACACACACACACACACACACACACACACACACACACCUCUCCCUCACCGUCG